ACUAGGCGUGCGACAAGUAGGGCGGGACACGUGUAAUCCUGUCUGAAUAUGGGGGGGACCAUCCUCCAAGGCUAAAUACUCGUAAUCGACCGAUAGUGAACUAGUACCGUGAGGGAAAGGCGAAAAGAACCCCGGGAGGGGAGUGAAAUAGAUCCUGAAACCGCAUGCAUACAAACCAGUCGGAGCCUGGAAAACGGGUGACGGCGUACCUUUUGUUAAUGGGUCAGCGACUUACAUUCAGUGGCAAGGUUAACCGAAUAGGGAAGCCGUAGAGAAAUCGAGUCCGAAUAGGGCGUUCAGUCGCUGGGUGUAGACCCGAAACCAAGUGAUCUAUCCAUGGCCAGGAUGAAGGUGCCGUAACAGGUACUGGAGGUCCGAACCGACUAGUGUUGCAAAACUAGCGGAUGAGCUGUGGAUAGGGGGUGAAAGGCUAAACAAACUUGGAAUAGCUGGUUCUCUCCGAAAACUAUUUAGGUAGUGCUCAAGUA
rnacentral:rRNA from 1 species